AAAGGUAAGCUACUAAGAGCGAAUGGUGGAUGCCUUGACUGGUAAAGGCGAUGAAGGACGUACUAGACUGCGAUAAGCUACGGGGAGCUGUCAAGAAGCUUUGAUCCGUAGAUUUCCGAAUGGGGCAACCCAAUGUAUAGAGAUAUACAUUACCUAUAUAGGAGCGAACGAGGGGAAUUGAAACAUCUUAGUACCCUCAGGAAAAGAAAUCAAUAGAGAUUGCGUCAGUAGCGGCGAGCGAAAGCGCAAGAGGGCAAACCCAGUGCUUGCACUGGGGGUUGUAGGACUGCAAUGUGCAAGAGGUGAGUUUAGCAGAACAUUCUGGAAAGUAUAGCCAUAGAGGGUGAUAGUCCCGUAUGCGAAAAACAAACCUUAGCUAGCAGUAUCCUGAGUAGGGCGGGACACGAGGAAUCCUGUCUGAAUCCGGGUCGACCACGAUCCAACCCUAAAUACUAAUACCAGAUCGAUAGUGCACAAGUACCGUGAGGGAAAGGUGAAAAGAACUGAGGUGAUCAGAGUGAAAUAGAACCUGAAACCAUUUGCUUACAAUCAUUCAGAGCCCUAUGUAGCAAUACAGGGUGAUGGACUGCCUUUUGCAUAAUGAGCCUGCGAGUUGUGGUG
rnacentral:rRNA from 1 species